GUAAACUGUGAUUCAUAAAUAAACUGUCGGUGGUGAGUGAACUGCGCCAUUUUAACUUCCUUUAGGAACCCGAAAUAAGAAGAGUAUAUUUCAAACUAUGACAAGAUAACACCUACUGUACAAAAUAUUCUCCAUACCCUGGAACUUUUGCUUCUUCAAUUUCUUUUACAGGUAAAAGAUGAUAAACGGAGGAAAAAAAACCCUAAAAAUCAUAGAAAGAAAAUCCUGAAAUUUAGAAACCGGGUGAUGAUGCAGCCUGAAGAUAUUGUAUUCAAGGUGGUCGUAGCUUCAUAUGAGCAUAUGAGCAAAAUUGUGACUGGACUUUAUGGGAAGGAUGUCAAACAGAGUUCUUACUUAUGAAGGGUGAUUGGAUUCUUGGAUCAUAGACCUGGAUCUAUUUCUUCAGGAAAUGCCUAUUGGAGAGAACAAAAACUGUUAAUUCCAUAAGAAGACUCCUGCACUUAGUUGUGGAAUGCAUCACAACUGGAGAUGGUCCAUCAUGAAAGAAUGCAAGAUCCUGAGGCUAUAUCUUUUCCGAUAUUUUACUCCGAUAGCAAGUGGUUGGCGGAUGUUUUGUCUGGUGGGAUUUCACUCUCAUCCCGAUAAUAGAUGAUACCGGAUGUACACAUCCUAUUUGAGAAUCGAAGCAGUAUUUGUAGCCAAGGUGAAAGGUUGCAUGACUUUCAAAGAUUCUAAGGAGCUGAGGUUUUAAUGUCUCACAAGUGUGUAGACUGGUUGAUAUUUCAUUAAGUAUUUAUAUGCAUGAGUUGUUACAAUAACCUAA